rnacentral:rRNA from 1 species
AACGAACGCUGGCGGCAGGCCUAACACAUGCAAGUCGAGCGAGGACUUCGGUCCUAGCGGCGGACGGGUGAGUAACGCGUGGGAACGUGCCCUUUGCUACGGAAUAGCCCUGGGAAACUGGGAGUAAUACCGUAUGUGCCCUUCGGGGGAAAGAUUUAUCGGCAAAGGAUCGGCCCGCGUUGGAUUAGGUAGUUGGUGGGGUAAUGGCCUACCAAGCCGACGAUCCAUAGCUGGUUUGAGAGGAUGAUCAGCCACACUGGGACUGAGACACGGCCCAGACUCCUACGGGAGGCAGCAGUGGGGAAUCUUAGACAAUGGGCGCAAGCCUGAUCUAGCCAUGCCGCGUGAGCGAUGAAGGCCUUAGGGUUGUAAAGCUCUUUCAGUGGGGAAGAUAAUGACGGUACCCACAGAAGAAGCCCCGGCUAACUCCGUGCCAGCCGCCGCCGUAACAC